CUCACUGGUCUAAUCAAGGGUUUUCGCGCCGAAGAUGUACCGGGGCUCAAGCCGUGAGCCGAAGCUUUGGGUUCAGCGCAAGCUGAGCGGUAGCGGAGCGUUCCGUAAGCCGUUGAAGGCAGACCCGUGAGGGCUGCUGGAGGUAUCGGAAGUGCGAAUGCUGACAUGAGUAACGACAAACACUGUGAAAGACAGUGUCGCCGAAAGUCCAAGGGUUCCUGCGUAAAGUUAAUCUUCGCAGGGUUAGCCGGUCCCUAAGGCGAGGCCGAAAGGCGUAGUCGAUGGGAACCACGUUAAUAUUCGUGGGCCAGCGGGUGGUGACGGAUCUCGUGUAUCGUUUGGUCUUACUGGAUUGACCGGGCGAUGAAGAGGUUCCAGGAAAUAGCCCCCGCAUCAGACCGUACCCGAAACCGACACAGGUGGACUGGUAGAGCAUACCAAGGCGCUUGAGAGAAUGACGCUGAAGGAACUCGGCAAUUUGCCUCCGUAACUUCGGGAUAAGGAGGCCCAUGCGUCGCGCAAGCGGCGUGUGGGGGC
rnacentral:rRNA from 1 species